rfam:Lachancea dasiensis CBS 10888 genome assembly, chromosome: B
GUUCCUAUGGUCCAGUGGAAGGACGUCUCCUUUACACGGAGAAGGUCUCGGGUUCGAACCCCGAUGGGAAUA